ACACUUACCUGGCAGAGGAGAUACCAUGAUCACUAAGGUGGUUAUCCCAGGGCGAAGCUUAUCCAUUGCAUUUCAGAUGUGCUGACUCCUGCGAUUUCCUGAAAUGUGGGAAAAUCUACUGCAUAAUUUGUGGUAGUGGGGGACUGUGUUCAUGGUCUGUCC
rnacentral:snRNA from 1 species